GAGGGUAUAGCUUAGUGGUAGAGAGCUUGCAUGAAGUCCUGGGUUCAAUCUCCAGUACCUCCA
rnacentral:tRNA from 1 species